CCGCGUCGGUCGUGCGAGGUGGUAUGGUUCCCCAGAGGCCGGUUCUUGUGCUGCCUACCCCUUCAAGGGAAGCGGGCCACUUGAUGUAAGCCUUCCAUCCGGCGCCUUCCAAUGGGCGCAGGAGAACAACAGAGCACCCCCCGCGUUCCACCGAGCCUUCUCGGUCGCGUGGCCCGCGGGGACGUGCGAUGCUCUCGGACCCAGCGAACGCCGUGGGCGAGGACUCACGUCCCAGUCCCGAAAAUAAGCUCCGAUAUAAUGCUGACGGCCGCUCCCGCCCCCCGACCGCCACGGCGGCGCGGGGCGAGGCGCGCGUCGCAGAGGAAUGCUACCU
rnacentral:misc_RNA from 1 species